AUGCAAGUCGAACGGUAACAGGUCUUCGGAUGCUGACGAGUGGCGAACGGGUGAGUAAUACAUCGGAACGUGCCCGAGAGUGGGGGAUAACGAGGCGAAAGCUUUGCUAAUACCGCAUACGAUCUCAGGAUGAAAGCAGGGGACCGCAAGGCCUUGCGCUCACGGAGCGGCCGAUGGCAGAUUAGGUAGUUGGUGGGAUAAAAGCUUACCAAGCCGACGAUCUGUAGCUGGUCUGAGAGGACGACCAGCCACACUGGGACUGAGACACGGCCCAGACUCCUACGGGAGGCAGCAGUGGGGAAUUUUGGACAAUGGGCGCAAGCCUGAUCCAGCCAUGCCGCGUGCAGGAUGAAGGCCUUCGGGUUGUAAACUGCUUUUGUACGGAACGAAAAGACUCCUUCUAAUAAAGGGGGUCCAUGACGGUACCGUAAGAAUAAGCACCGGCUAACUACGUGCCAGCAGCCGCGGUAAUACGUAGGGUGCGAGCGUUAAUCGGAAUUACUGGGCGUAAAGCGUGCGCAGGCGGUUAUAUAA
rnacentral:rRNA from 1 species